GGAAUAUUGGGCAAUGGGGGAAACCCUGACCCAGCAACGCCGCGUGAGGGAAGAAGGUUUUCGGAUCGUAAACCUCUGUCCUUGGUGAAGAGGAAGAGACGGUAGCCAAGGAGGAAGCCCCGGCUAACUACGUGCCAGCAGCCGCGGUAAUACGUAGGGGGCAAGCGUUGUCCGGAAUGAUUGGGCGUAAAGGGCGCGUAGGCGGCCUUAUAAGUCUGGAGUGAAAGUCCUGCCUUCAAGGUGGGAAUUGCUUUGGAUACUGUAGGGCUUGAGUGCAGGAGAGGUAAGUGGAAUUCCCAGUGUAGCGGUGAAAUGCGUAGAGAUUGGGAGGAACACCAGUGGCGAAGGCGACUUACUGGACUGUAACUGACGCUGAGGCGCGAAAGUGUGGGGAGCAAACA
rnacentral:rRNA from 1 species